CGGUACGUACUGGCAUCGUCGGUUUCUCCCUUCUGACGAACCAUGAUGUCAUUUAUUUGGUGUUGUGGGGAAUCAGGACUGUUACUUUGAAAAAAUUAGAGUGUUUAAAGCAGGCUCACGCUUGAAUACAUUAGCAUGGAAUAAUGAAAUAGGACGUUUGAUUCUAUUUUGUUGGUUUCUAGGAUCGACGUAAUGAUUAAUAGGGAUAGUUGGGGGCAUUAGUAUUCGAUUGUCAGAGGUGAAAUUCUUGGAUUUAUUGAAGACUAACUACUGCGAAAGCAUUUGCCAAGGAUGUUUUCAUUAAUCAAGAACGAAAGUUAGGGGAUCGAAGACGAUCAGAUACCGUCGUAGUCUUAACCAUAAACUAUGCCGACUAGGGAUCGGAUGAUGUUAAUUUUUUAAUGACUCAUUCGGCGCCUUACG
rnacentral:rRNA from 1 species